AGUGAACGCUGGCGGUAGGCCUAACACAUGCAAGUCGAACGGCAGCACAGUAAGAGCUUGCUCUUACGGGUGGCGAGUGGCGGACGGGUGAGGAAUACAUCGGCAUCUACUUUUUCGUGGGGGAUAACGUAAGGAAACUUACGCUAAUACCGCAUACGACCUACGGGUGAAAGCAGGGGAUCUUCGGACCUUGCGCGAUUGAAUGAGCCGAUGUCGGAUUAGCUAGUUGGCGGGGUAAAGGCCCACCAAGGCGACGAUCCGUAGCUGGUCUGAGAGGAUGAUCAGCCACACUGGAACUGAGACACGGUCCAGACUCCUACGGGAGGCAGCAGUGGGGAAUAUUGGACAAUGGGCGCAAGCCUGAUCCAGCCAUACCGCGUGGGUGAAGAAGGCCUUCGGGUUGUAAAGCCCUUUUGUUGGGAAAGAAAAGCAGCAGGUUAAUACCCCGCUGUUCUGACGGUACCCAAAGAAUAAGCACCGGCUAACUUCGUG
rnacentral:rRNA from 1 species